rnacentral:rRNA from 1 species
CCUACGGGUGGCAGCAGUGAGGAAUAUUGGUCAAUGGACGCAAGUCUGAACCAGCCAAGUAGCGUGAAGGAUGACUGCCCUAUGAGUUGUAAACUUCUUUUGUAUGAGAAUAAAACACGAUAUGCAUACCCUCUUGUAUGUACCAUAUGAAUAAGGAUCGGCUAACUCCGUGCCAGCAGCCGCGGUAAUACGGAGGAUCCAAGCGUUAUCCGGAUUUAUUGGGUUUAAAGGGAGCGUAGGUGGAUUGUUAAGUGAGUGGUGAAAGUCUGAGGCUCAACUGUGAAAUUGCAGUUGAUACUGGUCGGCUAGAGAAUAGUAGAGGUAGGCGGAAUGCAUGGUGUAGCGGUGAAAUGCUUAGAGAUCACGCAGAACUCCGAUUGCGAAGGUAGCUUACUAGACUGCAACUGACACUGAUGCACGAAAGCGUGGGGAGCAAACAGGAUUAGAUACCCGAGUAGUC